GACAGAGGGUGCAAACGUUGUUCGGAAUUACUGGGCGUAAAGCGCGUGUAGGCGGCUCUGCAAGUCGGAUGUGAAAUCCCACGGCUCAACCAUGGAAGUGCAUUCGAAACUGCAGGGCUAGAGUCCUGGAGAGGAAGGUGGAAUGCUUGGUGUAGAGGUGAAAUUCGUAGAUAUCAAGCGGAACACCGGUGGCGAAGGCGGCCUUCUGGACCGACAUUGACGCUGAGGAGCGAAAGCUAGGGGAGCAAACGGG
rnacentral:rRNA from 1 species